AGCGAACGCUGGCGGCAGGCUUAACACAUGCAAGUCGAGCGGGCAUCCUUGUGGUGUCAGCGGCAGACGGGUGAGUAACGCGUGGGAACGUGCCCUUCGGUUCGGAAUAACUCAGGGAAACUUGAGCUAAUACCGGAUACGUGCGAGAGCAGAGAGGUUUAUCUGCCGAAGGAUCGGCCCGCGUCUGAUUAGCUAGUUGGUGAGGUUAUGGCUCACCAAGGCGACGAUCAGUAGCUGGUCUGAGAGGAUGAUCAGCCACACUGGGACUGAGACACGGCCCAGACUCCUACGGGAGGCAGCAGUGGGGAAUAUUGGACAAUGGGGGCAACCCUGAUCCAGCCAUGCCGCGUGAGUGAUGACGGCCUUAGGGUUGUAAAGCUCUUUUCUUCGGGACGAUAAUGACGGUACCGGAGGAAUAAGCCCCGGCUAACUUCGUG
rnacentral:rRNA from 1 species